rnacentral:rRNA from 1 species
UGGUCUUGACAUCCCAAGAACGUCUAUGAAAGUAGAAAGUGCCUCCAAUCGGAAGAACUUGGUGACAGGUGCUGCAUGGCUGUCGUCAGCUCGUGUCGUGAGAUGUUGGGUUGAGUCCCGCAACGAGCGCAACCCACGUCUUUAGUUGCCAUCAUUAAGUUGGGCACUCUAAAGAGACUGCCGGUGUCAAACCGGAGGAAGGUGUGGAUGACGUCAAGUCCUCAUGGCCUUUAUGACCAGGGCUACACACGUACUACAAUGGGCGGUACAAAGGGCAGCGAACUCGCGAGGGUAAGCGAAUCUCAUAAAACCGUUCUCAGUCCGGAUCGGAGUCUGCAACUCGACUCCGUGAAGUGGAAUCGCUA